rnacentral:rRNA from 1 species
GACAGAGGGUGCAAACGUUGUUCGGAAUUACUGGGCGUAAAGCGCGUGUAGGCGGCUAAGUAAGUCGGGCGUGAAAUCCCACGGCUCAACCGUGGAAGUGCACUCGAAACUGCAUAGCUAGAGUCCUGGAGAGGAAGGUGGAAUGCUUGGUGUAGAGGUGAAAUUCGUAGAUAUCAAGCGGAACACCGGUGGCGAAGGCGGCUCACUGGCCCGGAACUGACGCUGAGGCACGGAAAGCGUGGGGAGCAAACAGGA